CCUACGGGUGGCAGCAGUGGGGAAUAUUGCACAAUGGGGGAAACCCUGAUGCAGCGACGCCGCGUGAUUGAAGAAGUAUUUCGGUUUGUAAAGCUCUAUCAGCAGGGACGAAUUUUACGGUUCCUGAUUAAGAAGCCCCGGCUAACUACGUUCCAGCCGCCGCGGUAAUUCGUAGGGGGCAAGCGUUAUCCGGAUUUACUGGGUGUAAAGGGAGCGUAGACGGCAGCGCAAGUCUGGAGUGAAAUGCCGGGGCUUAACCCCGGAACUGCGUUGGAAACUGGGCAGCUAGAGUGAAGGAGAGGCAGGUGGAAUUCCUAGUGUAGAGGUGAAAUGCGUAGAUAUUAGGAGGAACACCAGUGGCGAAGGCGGUUUACUGGACAGUAACUGACGUUGAGGCUCGAAAGCGUGGGGAGCAAACAGGAUUAGAUACCCUUGUAGUC
rnacentral:rRNA from 1 species